GGGAAGAGCUUCCUGGUCAAGACUGGUGCCAGGAAGAAAUGAGCUGAAGCACCUUAAAAGAGGAGCUGUCUGGGGAAGGCACCAGAGCCUUCAGGGAAAACCAGAGGUCCUUUUACCAUGUAUUGUCUGCCUUGGAGCCAGUGACCAUGGACUGACCCCUCUGAAACUGUGAGCUAAAGUAAACCUCUACUCUUUUAAGUGGGUGUUGGAUAUUUUGUUCCAGCCACAGGAAAGCUAAUACUGCUGCAUUUCCUUGACCAAAAUCCCAUAUGUCUUUUCACAUCCAUGGGGUGAAGUCUGGACAUCUCAGCAAUCCCUGGCAAUUGACUUGCUCAUCUAGACGCACACAGGUGUUAGACGAGCUCAGCAAUAUAGCAAAACUGUGACGCUGCACAGAAGCAGUUCGACAAGGU
rnacentral:lncRNA from 1 species